rnacentral:rRNA from 1 species
GCCUUGCUGAAUUAUUCACCCGUGUCUUUUGCGUACUUCUUGUUUCCUUGGUGGGUUCGCCCACCAUAGGACAAACCAUAAACCUUUUGUAAUUGCAAUCAGCGUCAGUAAAAAAAUUAAUAAUUACAACUUUUAACAACGGAUCUCUUGGUUCUGGCAUCGAUGAAGAACGCAGCGAAAUGCGAUAAGUAGUGUGAAUUGCAGAAUUCAGUGAAUCAUCGAAUCUUUGAACGCACAUUGCGCCCUUUGGUAUUCCAAAGGGCAUGCCUGUUCGAGCGUCAUUUGUACCCUCAAGCUUUGCUUGGUGUUGGGCGUCUUGUCUCCAGUUCGCUGGAGACUCGCCUUAAAGUAAUUGGCAGCCGGCCUACUGGUUUCGGAGCGCAGCACAAGUCGCGCUCUCUUCCAGCCAAGGUCAGCAUCCACAAAGCCUUUUUUCAACUUUUGACCUCGGAUCAGGUAGGGAUACCCGCUGAACUUAAGCAUAUCA